GUGGCUAUAUUUCAAUGGUAGAAAGAAUGUUUGUGGUAUAUUAAAUCUAAGUUCAAUUCUUAGUAGUCACC
rnacentral:tRNA from 1 species